ACGAACGCUGGCGGCAUGCCUAACCCAUGCAAGUCGCACGAGACCUUCGGGUCUAGUGGCGCACGUGUGCGUAACGCGUGGGAACCUGCCCUUAGGUUCGGAAUAACUCCCCGAAAGGGGUGCUAAUACCGGAUAAUGUCUUCGGACCAAAGAUUUAUCGCCUUUGGAUGGGCCCGCGUUGGAUUAGCUAGUUGGUAGGGUAAAAGCCUACCAAGGCGACGAUCCAUAGCUGGUCUGAGAGGAUGAUCAGCCACACUGGGACUGAGACACGGCCCAGACUCCUACGGGAGGCAGCAGUGGGGAAUAUUGGACAAUGGGCGAAAGCCUGAUCCAGCAAUGCCGCGUGAGUGAUGAAGGCCUUAGGGUUGUAAAGCUCUUUUACCCGGGAUGAUAAUGACAGUACCGGGAGAAUAAGCUCCGGCUAACUCCGUG
rnacentral:rRNA from 1 species